GGUUAAGCGACUAAGCGUACACGGUGGAUGCCCUGGCAGUCAGAGGCGAUGAAGGACGUGCUAAUCUGCGAUAAGCGUCGGUGAGGUGAUAUGAACCGUUAUAACCGGCGAUUUCCGAAUGGGGAAACCCAGUGUGUUUCGACACACUAUCAUUAACUGAAUCCAUAGGUUAAUGAGGCGAACCGGGGGAACUGAAACAUCU
rnacentral:rRNA from 1 species